UUAGUUGAAUAAUUUUGUUUCACUAUUAUCUUUUAUAAUUAAUUGCAGGCUCUCUGCAUUUUUCACUUAGAGGAUGGAUUGCUGGGCAUAUAAAAUGGAACAGAAUAAUAAAAACUAGGAAAAUAUUAGCCUAAUUUUGAAAUUAGUGAAUUGGAUUAAAAAUGGUGGAAGCAUGUUUUCUGCACCUUCAGACUACUUCUAGUCAUAAUGUCAAAAAGAAGUAUUGCUACUCCUUUCAUUUAUCAAUUGAAAACACGGACAAACAUUGCUACAGUGAUAACAAGAAGUCCCUCUCAUAGUUGAUUUCUUACACAGGCCAAAACUAGCCCAAACUUUAUGAUCUGUCUCUGAUGCUGUCAGUGAGCACUGUGACUUCAGCAGGUACUCUACUGAAGUCCUGGAAACCCAAACAGGGCAGUAUGGUGUUAGCAUGGCUCUUGUGACCGCUCUGGACAACAAUCUGAACUCAGAUGCACUGGCCAGGUAGACAG